UACGUAGGGAGCAAGCGUUGUCCGGAAUCAUUGGGCGUAAAGCGCGCGUAGGUGGCUUCGUAAGUCCGCUGUGAAAGUCAAAGGCUCAACCUUUGAAAGCCGGUGGAUACUGUGAAGCUAGAGUACGGAAGAGGCGAGUGGAAUUCCUGGUGUAGCGGUGGAAUGCGCAGAUAUCAGGAGGAACACCAAUAGCGAAGGCAGCUCGCUGGGACGUUACUGACACUGAGGCGACGAAAGCGU
rnacentral:rRNA from 1 species